rnacentral:rRNA from 1 species
UACGUAGGGUGCGAGCGUUAAUCGGAAUUACUGGGCGUAAAGCGUGCGCAGGCGGUUCGUUGUGUCGGUGGUGAAAGCCCCGGGCUUAACCUGGGAAUGGCCAUGGAAACUGGCGAACUGGAGUGUGGCAGAGGGGGGGGUGGAAUUCCGCGUGUAGCAGUGAAAUGCGUAGAGAUGCGGAGGAACACCGAUGGCGAAGGCAGCCCCCUGGGCUAGCACUGACGCUCAGGCACGAAAGCGUGGGGAGCAAACAGG